AGCCAUUUGUAAAAUAGAUUAGAUGGAUAGCCCUCAAGUGACAUAAUGUUGACCUAACGUUGCAUGUAAUUCUUGCCUUACCGCUUUCAUUGCAUAUUGUAUAGGACUCUCAGUUCAACUAAACUUUAUAUACAAACAUAAAUGUCAACUUUUGUUAAAUUUGUAUAUCAUUUACUUUUAAAAAGGUGCAAUAAACCUUUGUAAACAUAUUGAGUUAAAUUUGUGUGCAGGUUGCAUUCGACAACAGUUGUCGGAUGGUCGAUUUACCACGGGAAGCCAACGACCGGGGUAAAUCUUACUUUUUAAUGUUAUAAACCUUUAUAUAUUUAUAUAUUCUUACUCCUUUCUGAACGAGCUAUCAAGAAAUCCUUCACAAAGCUGGACGAGUCCUUUACUUCACGGAGUGUUGCUCUUCUUAUCAAAGAGCUGCAGUUCCCGGUUAAAGUUGAUAAAGCUAUUAGGGAUGAGUUUGCUGGAAUACUCCAGGAUUAUUUGGAUGCAAUGAAUUUAGAUGAGGAAAGUGACAAGUAAAAAUUUGUCGCCGAGUAUCUCAUACCUCCCUCUGGAUUAAGAGAUAUAUAGGGAGCCUAACCACAACUAUUGUGCCUAGUUUUGAUGCCUUGAUGAUUCUCUUGAAAGCUCGGGACAUGUUUAAUAUCGUGUCGAAGGUCCCAAAACAAGGCAAAAUUCUUGGGCUUGACGUCGGAUAUAAUGAAUAUAAGACAAUAAAUUCAGGAAUACCCAUAAACCUAUAUGAACAAGGAAACUCUAAUUUAUCGAAGCUUCGAGUAUGUAGGAGGUGGUGUUUUGGUGGAAUGUAUUGUUUGUGGGAGAUAUGGUGAUAACACGAGAUGGGGUCACGGAGUCUGAAACUUCGACUCUUUACUGGUUCACUUUUUGCACUUUGGGUUAGAAAUUUUGAUCUUUGUGAUUGAAAGAUGUACUGUGAAUUUGAUCUAAAUUGUAGUUAUUUUUUGGUGCAAAGUUUUGUUUAAAGUGAAUUGUAAUACUAGUAGUAUAUUGUUAAUUGUAUAUGUUGCUUGUAUAGUGUCACUGCCCUGUUUGGGUGAAUAGGUCCUGCCACUAUUGUGAUUAUGUUAUCUGUAUUUGGAUUUACUCCUUGAUCCUUCAUGAUUUGCUGAUUUCUUGUUCA